rnacentral:tRNA from 1 species
GGGCGCUUAGCUCAGUCGGAAGAGCACCACGCUUACAACGUGGCGGUCGUCGGUUCGAUCCCGGCAGCGCCCACCA